AGAGAGACCCAGUGAACCCACCGAGAAAUUAGUUGAGCAUGUAUGCACCCAAGGAUAAAUUAGAGAGACCAACUCAUUUACUGCAUUCCAUCUUAUAUGGUCUAGCUUUAUUCGAAAUUGAAAUUCUAUUGUGCAAUAUUAGAGUUUUUGUUGAUUUGACCUUAAGUGCUACAGUAAACUUUUUAUUUGAGAGCGUAUCCUGAAGAAUAAUUUGAGCAUAUAUAUAUAUAUAUAUAAACAUAGUUUUGGUCUAUA
rnacentral:lncRNA from 1 species